rnacentral:rRNA from 1 species
AGUGGCGAACGGGUGAGUAACACGUGGGCAACCUGCCCAAAAGAGGGGGAUAACACUUGGAAACAGGUGCUAAUACCGCAUAACCAUAGUUACCGCAUGGUAACUAUGUAAAAGGUGGCUAUGCUACCGCUUUUGGAUGGGCCCGCGGCGCAUUAGCUAGUUGGUGGGGUAAAGGCUUACCAAGGCAAUGAUGCGUAGCCGAACUGAGAGGUUGAUCGGCCACAUUGGGACUGAGACACGGCCCAAACUCCUACGGGAGGCAGCAGUAGGGAAUCUUCCACAAUGGGCGAAAGCCUGAUGGAGCAACGCCGCGUGGGUGAAGAAGGUCUUCGGAUCGUAAAACCCUGUUGUUAGAGAAGAAAGUGCGUGAGAGUAACUGUUCACGUUUCGACGGUAUCUAACCAGAAAGCCACGGCUAACUACGUGCCAGCAGCCGCGGUAAUACGUAGGUGGCAAGCGUUGUCCGGAUUUAUUGGGCGUAAAGCGAGUGCAGGCGGUUCAAUAAGUCUGAUGUGAAAGCCUUCGGCUCAACCGGAGAAUUGCAUCAGAAACUGUUGAACUUGAGUGCAGAAGAGGAGAGUGGAACUCCAUGUGUAGCGGUGGAAUGCGUAGAUAUAUGGAAGAACACCAGUGGCGAAGGCGGCUCUNUGGUCUGCAACUGACGCUAAGCUCGAAAGCAUGGGUAGCGAACAGGAUUAGAUACCUGGUA